rnacentral:rRNA from 1 species
GAUGAACGCUGGCGGCGUGCCUAAUACAUGCAAGUCGAGCGAACGGACCCGACGCUUGCUUCUCUCAUGUUUGCGGCGGACGGGUGUGUAACACGUGGAUCCCCUCCCUAUCAGACUGGGAUCACUUCGGGACUCCGGCGCUAAUACCGGAUAAUAUUUUGCACCGCAUGGUUCGAAGGUGAAAGACGGUCUUGCUGUCACUUAUCGAUGGAUCCGCGCUGCAUUAGCUAGUUGGUAAGUUCACGGCUUACCACGGCAACGAUGCCUAGCCGACCUGAGAGGGGGAUAGGCCACACGGGAAGGGAGACACGGACCAGACGCCUACGGGACGCAGCAGUAGCGUAUCGGCCGCAACAGUCGGAAGCAUGACGGAGCAAGGGGGCGUGAGAGAUGAAGGUCUUCGGAGCGUAAAACUGGGUUAUUAGGGAAGAACAGAUGUGGAAUGAGCUGUGGAGAGAGUGACGGUACCGAAUCAGAAAGCAACGGCUAACUACGUG